rnacentral:rRNA from 1 species
GAUGAACGCUAGCGGCAGGCUUAACACAUGCAAGUCGAGGGGUAGGUUACUUCGGUAAUUGAGACCGGCGCACGGGUGCGUAACGCGUAUACAAUCUACCUUUUACAGAGGGAUAGCCCAGAGAAAUUUGGAUUAAUACCUCAUAGUAUUUUUGAAUCGCAUGAUUUGAUUAUUAAAGUUCCAACGGUAAAAGAUGAGUAUGCGUCCCAUUAGCUAGAUGGUAAGGUAACGGCUUACCAUGGCUACGAUGGGUAGGGUCCUGAGAGGGAGAUCCCCCCACACUGGCACUGAGACACGGACCAGACUCCUACGGGAGGCAGCAGUGAGGAAUAUUGGACAAUGGGGCGCAAGCCUGAUCCAGCCAUGCCGCGUGCAGGAUGACGGUCCUAUGGAUU